UGUUUUCAAGAAAAUCAAGAAACUGAAUCUUCGUCCAAUUUUGCUGUUUUGAGCGAUUUUAAGAAUCAAGAAAAUCAAGAUUUCAAAUCUUGGAAAUCUUGGUCCAAAAAACCGAAUUUUGCAGCUAAGGCGCAUUGGAUCUCAGUUACGAGCAUCAACGAACCAAUUUCAGGAGAGAACGAAUUACAAGCCCAAAUGCUUGAAGAAACGACCCAAUAAGAUGUUCCAAGCCCAAUCAAGAAAUUUAAAUUAGACUUAGUUGAAAAUCAAGCCAA
rnacentral:lncRNA from 1 species